rnacentral:rRNA from 1 species
GAUGAACGCUGGCGGCGUGCCUCAAACAUGCAAGUCGAGCGGGGCUAUGUAAUAUCGCAAGGUAGAACAUAGCCUAGCGGCGAACGGGUGAGUAACACGUGGGUAACCUGCCUGGAAGACAGGGAUAACGAUUCGAAAGGGUCGCUAAUACCUGAUAAUAUCCUUUCAUCGCAUGGUGAUAGGAAGAAAGGGGAAACCCGCUUUCAGAUGGGCCCGCGUCCCAUCAGCUAGUUGGUAAGGUAAAGGCUUACCAAGGCGACGACGGGUAGCCGGUCUGAGAGGAUGUACGGCCACACUGGGACUGAGAUACGGCCCAGACUCCUACGGGAGGCAGCAGUUGGGAAUCUUAGGCAAUGGACGAAAGUCUGACCUAGCGACGCCGCGUGAGGGAAGAAGGCCUUCGGGUUGUAAACCUCUGUCAUGGGGAAGAAGUAAGUGACGGUACCCAGAGGAAGCCCCUGCUAACUACGUG